AUGGUGUUGUCUAGUAUGUCUGAU
rnacentral:siRNA from 1 species